GAUGAACGCUGGCGGCGUGCCUAAUACAUGCAAGUCGUACGGAAAGGCCCUUCGGGGUACUCGAGUGGCGGACGGCUGAGUAACGCGUGGGAACGUGCCCCAACGUGAGGGAUAACGCACCGAAAGGUGUGCUAAUACCGCAUAUGGUCUUCGGAUUAAAGCUUCGGCGCUUUGGGAGCGGCCCGCGUACGAUUAGAUAGUUGGUGAGGUAAUGGCUCACCAAGUCGACGAUCGUUAGCUGGUCUGAGAGGAUGAUCAGCCAGACUGGGACUGAGACACGGCCCAGACUCCUACGGGAGGCAGCAGUAAGGAAUCUUCCACAAUGGGGGCAACCCUGAUGGAGCAACGCCGCGUGCAGGAUGAAGGUUUUCGGAUCGUAAACUGCUUUUAUAAGUGAAGAAUAUGACGGUAACUUAUGAAUAAGGAUCGGCUAACUACGUGCCAGCCGCCGCCGUAAAAC
rnacentral:rRNA from 1 species